rnacentral:lncRNA from 1 species
UAUAAAUUAUAUAAAACUUCAUGAUGAGUGGUUUUUAUAUCAUAAUUUUAGUACCUUUGACUUAUUGAAAUUGCCUGUUUUUGAGUUUAUUAUGUUUCUUUUUAUUUGUUUUAGUGUGUUUUUGUAGAAUUAGCAUUUGGAAGAGGAAUAAGGGGAAAUGAUGUGAUUGCAGCUAACUUAUUGUAGUUUUCGUGCACAAUUGGAUCAAGAUUGGUUCGAGAGUGUUCGGCAUGCGUUCAUGUGCAAACAGACACGGUCGUGUGGGGAAAAGUUGUGCAUAUUUUGGGGAUAAAGAGUUAAUCAGGGCAAGGAAAGCAAGCUGCUAGACAAGGAGGGCUGCAGCGCAGGAAUACAUGGGGCAGCGCAGCAGCGCUUGGU